UGCCAGCAGCCGCGGUAAUACGGAGGAUCCAAGCGUUAUCCGGAAUUAUUGGGUUUAAAGGGUCCGCAGGCUGUUUGUUAAGUCAGGGGUGAAAUCCUACCGCUCAACGGUAGAACUGCCUUUGAUACUGGCAAACUUGAGUUAUUGUGAAGUAGUUAGAAUGUGUAGUGUGGCGGUGAAAUGCAUAGAUAUUACACAGAAUACCGAUUGCGAAGGCAGAUUACUAACAAUAUACUGACGCUCAGGGACGAAAGCUAGGGGAGCAAACAGGAUUAGAUA
rnacentral:rRNA from 1 species